AAAACACAGAAACGAACAGAGCACAAAACAAGAGACACCAUAGAAUCUUGGUCGCCAUAGAGCUGUCUUUCGGAGAGAGAGAGAGAGAGAUUAAGAAAGAGAGAGAAGAUCGAGAUGAUAUGAAUGGACCGAUGAGAGGGUUAUUUGGGAAAUUUUGGUGGAAAAUAAUAAGAAAAUCUCAUAUUCCUCAAAAGGUUAUAUUCUCAUUACCCAAUUUACCCCUUCCCUACACUCCCUCACCUAUAAAGGCAAGUCCUUUAUAUAAACACCCCCAUUACAAGGUGAGUCAAUUUCCAAAAAUUCUUCAAUUUUUUUACACUCCAAAAACAUGGGACCCACAGUAUCUUUGUCCCACAAGUACGCUAUUUUUUCUAUUAUUAUUAUUAUUAUCCAA